UGAUAUUUACAAAUAUUGAGCGAUUUCAAUUCAACGCCGAUUUUUCUAGUUAAUUAUCAUUAUAAUACAUCAAAAUGAUAUAUUUAUGUUUGAAAUAUAUUAUAAAUAUUCAUAAUCUACGAAGAUUUGAUCAUUCCUAUCAGGAUUUGGGUAGAUUUGGGUAUUAGUGCCACCGAUUGAUAACUUCAACUUGCGCGUUAAAUAUUUUACACGGAACCAGUCGAGUAAUACCCAACACAACUAAAAAUAAACACUAGAAUUCCACAAACUGUUCAUGUUUAAGCUACUUUCGGAUUGAUUGCUUUAUCUAAAAGAAUGAAAUGAAAGUGCUCCUGCAAUGCUCAUAUAGAUGGAAAUUUCAAAUUGGCUGCCUCUGUAUACAUAUAGAUGUUGUACAACUACAGGACUCUCAGUCUCACUCAAGUUGAUGGGUCAGUUGCACGAAUGGUAACUGUAAUUCACACUGGUCACGGGAAAAAGUGCCGCUGUGUGGGAAUCAAUUGUAGUUUCUCCGGAAAAGAUGUUACAGCCAGUGUAUGAAGACUGAACUUUUGAUAGAUCACAGGUGCUCUCGCAAAGACUGAUGGCCUGGCAGCAUAAACUAUUCUAUGGUUAUAAGGGUAAUGUCUUUAAACAGAAGCAUGCUGUUGUGGAGUGAAAGUGCACAAACCAUUGAUAACCCUUUGGAGAAUCAGUACCAGAUGUCUUUUCAAAUGUUUGCCAUUCUGAAGUUUUUUUUGACUGAGCAGUGUCAAACAGUCUUCGGAUCCUAGAGAAUCAGUUCCUCCAAAUGAACAAAUCACAACAGUCAUAAAAAUUAUGGGCAGAGAUAUUUCAUGGAAGAGAGAUAACAUGACAAUACAAAAAUAGGUGUUGCAAUGGAUUCGGAGGUGAAAUCAUGAGGAGUUGUUGUGAUGGCAGAAGAAUGAGUGAUCAUUUAGCAUUUUGCACAAGGGUGUACGAGUGGUCCAGUUAAACAGAGAUUACAAACAAUUAAAACUAUAAUUUGAUAUUAUAUCUACUUGUGAUUGAUGAAAGUAAUUCAAAGUAUCAUUUGGACAGAUCUGAUGAGUUAACAAAUAUUUGAAAGUAUACGAGGAACAUUUUACACACCUUCAAUAUUAGUAUGUUGUAUAGUAAAUAUAAUAAACAAUUAAAGUUGAAAAACUGAA